CGAGAGUAGUUCGUAGUCCUGGUCGACAGGACGACGCUGCGGCGUGCUUAACACAUGCAAGUCGAACGAGGUCCAUUGCGAGCUUGCUCAAGAGAAGACCUAGUGGCGAACGGGUGCGUAACACGUGAGAAACCUGCCCCGAACUUGGGAAUAACAGUCGGAAACGGCUGCUAAUACCGAAUAUCUCCGUAGCGUCGCAUGGCGCAUCGAAGAAAGCUUUUGCGGUUUGGAGGGUCUCGCGGCCUAUCAGCUAGUUGGUGAGGUAACGGCUCACCAAGGCAUCGACGGGUAGCUGGUCUGAGAGGAUGAUCAGCCACACUGGGACUGAGACACGGCCCAGACUCCUACGGGAGGCAGCAGUGGGGAAUAUUGCACAAUGGGCGAAAGCCUGAUGCAGCAACGCCGCGUGCGGGAAGAAGGCCCUAGGGUUGUAAACCGCUUUCAGCAGGGAAGAAACUGACGGUACCUGCAGAAGAAGGUGCGGCCAACUACGUG
rnacentral:rRNA from 1 species